UUUUCUGGACUGAAUAAGGAUCCUCUUCUAUUAUCCUAUCCAGAAGACUCUCUGUAGGGCUUCUCAGUGGAUGAGUUAUUGAGACUUGAAAGAGCAAAGGAAAGAUCAAGGGAGAGAGUUCCAGAGUCAUUUCUGGGGCACAAGUACAUGCUGAUGUCUCUAUACUCAGUUCAUCCCCACCAUCCCACCCCAUCCAGUGCCAAAGAAAAUGUUAUAUGUUUAUGAUGACAUGGUGGCAUUACCUAGAUUUUUCCUACCAGUCAAGUUUCAGAAAGAAUUAGUAGAUACCAUUUUAUUUAGUUAGGGGUAUUCUUUUUGAUGAGAACUUAUCAAGUUGGGAUCAAAGAAAUAAGCUUUAUAUAAGAUUAUUAGUAGUCCUGCUGAAAUUACAUGCUGUGUAUUGUGUGUAUAUUCUUUUUUACUAUGGAGAUCUUCAAUGGUUUUAUCAAUUUUUAAAUUAUCUUGAAGACAAAAGCUUUUAUCUAGCAUGGCUCUAUUAAUUAAAAACAGAUGUGAUUAAAGUGAAAAAUUUUGAAGGAUGUGUGGGGGUUUUAUAUAUACAUUUUUAUUAAUAUUUCAGGUGGUAUUGGCUGUGAAAUUUGCACCCUUGUGACUCUUUUUUAAUUAUAAAUGUUUUUAGGGGAAUAAAAACUUUUCAAAAGAGUUUUUUUUUUUUUUUUUGGUACUUUUCCUUUCGUCAUUCCCUAAAACCUGAAAAAAUUAGAACCGUUCUUACUGAAAAUAAAAAAUGUAUAAAACUCCAUUCAUGUUUAUUUUAUAGUCAUUUUACACACCCUUACAUAGACUUCUAGUUAUUCCAUGACUAAGUGUACAUUUUUAAAAGAUACCUAUUAUUUUUUAUGGUUGUUUUUUUUUUUUUUUUUUUUUUUUUUUUUUUUGUCUUUUCACCUUUUUCUAGGGCUAUAUGGCAUAUGGAGGUUCCCAGGCUAGGGGUCUAAUCGGAGCUGUAGCCACCGGCCUAUGCCAGAGACACAGCAACGCGGGAUCUGAGCCGCGCCUGCAACCUACACCACAGCUCACAGCAACGUCGUAUCCUUAACCCACUGAGCAAUGCCAGGGAUUGAACCCACAACCUCAUGUUUCCUAGUCAGAUUUGUUAACCACUGAGCUACGAUGGGAACUCCGAUUUUUGUUUGUUUUUGAUCACAGCUAUAAGUAGAAAACCUAAUUCUGACCUGGUCAUAAUUUUUCUUUACCUUAGUUGGAAACUCUGUAAAGUAUUUGCUCUGCCUCCUGCAUAAUAUCUCUAUCCCUGAUCAUGUGGACAUUUCCUCCCAUCUCCAUUUACUCAUAAAGAUAUUAAUUCUUUGGUGUUCCAGAGACUUAUUUUAUUUUUGCUGAAUACUAUUACCAGAUUCUCAGUUAGCCUGUGUCCAUAUCAACUGAAUAACUACUUUUCUAUUUUUCAUUAAAUAUAUGAGUUUUAAAGGCAUAGCCCAGAUAUUUUGAUAAUUUUGGUGGUGAGGGAAAGGAGAGGUUAUCCUGGUUUCUAAUGAGCCUGAGAAGGAUUCCCAUGCCAGCUCAUGUGCAUCCCUUUUUGAUGGUGAAUGCGUUUUCCCCCUAGAAGAUAUCUGAAGCCCAAGAGCUAUAGUCGUUGCACCAGAAGUAUUUUUUUGCAAUUUUUUUCUUCUCUUAGUGAAUCAAUUUUCCAGAAGAAAAAGUUGAAAUUUGAUAAGAUCAAUGUGGAAAGCCAAAAGUUGCUCUGAGUUAUGAUGUUAUUUCUCAGCCAGAUGCUUGUCUCUUCUGCCCAGCUGCAGAAUUUCUCUGUACACAGGGGUCUCUUUAGUGCCAAGGGGGAUAAGCGAAAAGAGAUGAAAAUAUAUCUGCUGUUGCAUCGAUGACCCCACUCGCACUGUUUCCUGCAGCGAGUUUUCCUUAGAAUCCUCAGAGGAAUGCUUUGCCUAACCACCCAUCCCAGCAUUUAGGAUUUACUUUAAAGAUGGUCAGUUAAUAUUUCUUGAACAUAAACCUUUGGCCAGAGUAACUGGAAAUUUGAGUUUAUUAAACUUUUACAUACUUAACUAGGGUCUACAGGGUAUUUUAAAUUCAGUCAUUUGGCUUCAGCUCUACUUUCUUACCCCCCAAAAUAUACAGUGUGAAAUGUAUGAGAAUUGGAUAAUGUAUUUUUUCCAGGUCCUCAGUAUCUUAUUUCUUCCAGAUAAUAGAGAAAAAAUAUACAGCCUUGCCAUGAAUAAACACACUAGACAUAGCUUGAAUUUCUAGGAAAAUUAAACAGAAGUGGUAAUGAGUUGGAACCAAGGCCCUUAAAUACCAUAUAUGUGUGUGUGUGUGUGUGUGUGUGUGUGUGUGUGUACAUGCGCGUGUGUGUGUGUGCACUCGCGUGUGUGUGUGUGUGUGUGUGUGUGGAUGUGCGAAAACCUCCUUGAGAAAGAGACAAAACAUAAUGGAAUAGUUAAAUGACUUACGAGACACCAUGCUAUGGAACAUUAGGUAACUAACUUAAAAAAAACUGUAGUGGUACUGACUUGGGAGGUUUUCCAUAACGUAUUUUGGGGGAAAAAGUUAAAUAAAUCAAAAUCUAGUGUAAUAUAUAUGGUAGGAUCUCUUUUCUCACAGGAAAAAAUAAAUCUGUAUUAAUCAUUUUUAGCACACAUAUGUAUAUACAGAAAUAUAAUUUUAGUCCAUUUGUUUUACAAAAACAAGUCCGCAUAAUGUUCAUGCAGUGAAAAUGUCUUGAAAACACACACGUUAGUAAUUAUAUCAGGGAAAAUGAAUGACUAAGAAAGGAAAGAGGCCAUCUUGUUUUAUGCUUUACAUACUUCUGUAAUACUAGAUUUUUUUAACCUCAAGAAAGUGUUAUUUUUAUGAUUUAAAACAGUCAGGUAUGAUAUUUAUUGAAUAGUUGUUCAAAUGUUUGUUUUGUGUGGCCUGCUAUUUGGCGGCAUUCUCUAUAGCAAUAUUUACUGGAAUGUCUCAAGUAAGUUUUUCAACAGAAAUGAAUGAAAUAAUAUUGGGUUUGUGGUAUAUUCUUAGAUUAUAUAAAGCUUUAUUCUGUUAAGAAUCUAUGUUGUAUUUUUCUCUUCCUAUUUCACAGCAAUAAGAGUGACCCCUUUUGUUCUUUUACCUGCCCAUUAGAGUCCUAGAGACAUUCCUUCCCAUCAAUCUGUACCUAGUCCGUUGACAAUUUUGCCACCAAAGUGUUGUUUAUGAACUUAUCAAAGCCUGACUUGAAUGUCCCUAGCAGGACUCUGAACCACCCCUUAGAGGAAGUGAUCUGGAAGUAACACUACUUAUUGUUCAUCUUGGUUACUGUGUCUCUUUCACCAGCCUUCUUUCAAGUUAAGCUAAACUAAAAUACUCGCAGAAAUUGAUUUGUUUUCCAUGCAAGGCAAUCUUUCAACAUGGUCUAAAUCCCACUUAUUGGCCCUGUACUUUCUACUGGGGACUGAGCUUGAAAUAGAAUCAAUAUUCAUAUGUAACUUACUUUUUUAGUAUAAGAAAUAUGCAUUUGUAUGUAUUCUUGGUGGAGUAGAUGGUACUCAUGCAUUGGUUUUAAAUACAGUUUACCUACUAUGUUUGGAAAAGUUCCUUAAACAUCGCAAGCCUUAGUUUUCUACUUCUGUUAAAAG
rnacentral:lncRNA from 1 species